CCUACGGGAGGCAGCAGUGAGGAAUAUUGGUCAAUGGACGAGAGUCUGAACCAGCCAAGUAGCGUGAAGGAUGACUGCCCUAUGGGUUGUAAACUUCUUUUAUAUGGGAAUAAAACGUUCCACGUGUGGGAUUUUGUAUGUACCAUAUGAAUAAGGAUCGGCUAACUCCGUGCCAGCAGCCGCGGUAAUACGGAGGAGCCGAGCGUUAUCCGGAUUUAUUGGGUUUAAAGGGAGCGUAGGUGGAUUGUUAAGUCAGUUGUGAAAGUUUGGGGCUCAACCGUAAAAUUGCAGUUGAAACUGGCAGUCUUGAGUACAGUAGGGGUGGGCGGAAUUCGUGGUGUAGCGGUGAAAUGCGUAGAUAUCACGAAGAACUCCGAUUGCGAAGGCAGUUCACUGGACUGCAACUGACACUGAGGCUCGAAAGUGUGGGUAUCAAACAGGAUUAGAUACCCCGGUAGUC
rnacentral:rRNA from 1 species